rnacentral:rRNA from 1 species
GACGAACGCUGGCGGCGUGCUUAACACAUGCAAGUCGAACGAUGAAGCCUUUCGGGGUGGAUUAGUGGCGAACGGGUGAGUAACACGUGGGCAAUCUGCCCUGUACUUUGGGAUAAGCCUUGGAAACGGGGUCUAAUACCGGAUAUCACUUACCUCCGCAUGGGGGUUUGUUGAAAGUUCUGGCGGUACAGGAUGAGCCCGCGGCCUAUCAGCUUGUUGGUGGGGUAGUGGCCUACCAAGGCGACGACGGGUAGCCGGCCUGAGAGGUGACCGGCCACACUGGGACUGAGACACGGCCCAGACUCCUACGGGAGGCAGCAGUGGGGAAUAUUGCACAAUGGGCGAAAGCCUGAUGCAGCGACGCCGCGUGAGGGAUGACGGCCUCGGUUGUAACUACUU